rfam:Schistosoma rodhaini strain Burundi genome assembly, scaffold: SROB_scaffold0000862
CUUCUGAGGAGUCCCAAAAUAGGACGAAACGGUCGUCAGGCAG